CACGUAGGGGGCAAGCGUUGUCCGGAUUUAUUGGGCGUAAAGAGCUCGUAGGCGGCUUGUUGCGUCGACUGUGAAAACCCGCGGCUUAACCGCGGGCUUGCAGUUGAUACGGGCAGGCUAGAGUUCGGUAGGGGAGACUGGAAUUCCUGGUGUAGCGGUGAAAUGCGGCAGAUAUCAGGAGGAACACCGGUGGCGAAGGCGGGUCUCUGGGCCGAUACUGACGCUGAGGAGCGAAAGCGUGGGGAGCGAACAGG
rnacentral:rRNA from 1 species